CCCUAGUAACGGCGAGUGAAGCGGGAAGAGCUCAAAUUUGAAAUCUGGCGGUCUACGGCCGUCCGAGUUGUAAUCUAGAGAGGUGUUUUCCGUGCCGGACCGUGUACAAGUCCCUUGGAACAGGGCGUCAUAGAGGGUGAGAAUCCCGUCCAUGACACGGACUACCGGUGCUCUGUGAUACACCUUCAAAGAGUCGAGUUGUUUGGGAAUGCAGCUCAAAAUGGGUGGUAAAUUCCAUCUAAAGCUAAAUACAGGCGAGAGACCGAUAGCGAACAAGUACCGUGAGGGAAAGAUGAAAAGAACUUUGGAAAGAGAGUUAAACAGUACGUGAAAUUGUUGAAAGGGAAACGCUUGAAGUCAGUCGCGUCUGCCAGGACUCAGCCUUGCUUCUGCAUGGUGCAUUUCCUGGUGGAUGGGCCAGCAUCGAUUUUGGUCGCCGGACAAGGGCGGGAGGAAUGUGGCAGCUUGCUGUGUUAUAGCCUCCCGUCGUACACGGUGGUUGGGAUCGAGGACUGCAGCACGCCUUUGGUCGGGGUUCGCCCACGCCACGUGCUUAGGAUGCUGGCGUAAUGGCUUUAAACGACCCGUCUUGAAACACGGACCAAGGAGUCUAACAUGCCUGCGAGUGUUUGGGCGUUAAACCCAGGCGCGUAAUGAAAGUGAAAAGUUGGGACUCUUUAGUGAGGCACCGACGCCCGAUCCUGACGUUCUCUGACGGAUUUGAGGUAGAGCAUGUAUGUUGGGACCCGAAAGAUGGUGAACUAUGCCUGAAUAGGGUGAAGCCAGAGGAAACUCUGGUGGAGGCUCGUAGCGAUUCUGACGUGCAAAUCGAUCGUCAAAUUUGGGUAUAGGGGCGAAAGACUAAUCGAACCAUCUAGUAGCUGGUUCCUG
rnacentral:rRNA from 1 species